GGUAGUUUCCCCAAAUGAGUUGGUUCUGCGGCAGGGAUAGGAGGUUGCUGCGUUGUGCGGAUGUGGUUCUGAGCACCGCACCGAGGACUUGCUCUGACUUUGUGUUCACGGGGCAUGCUCCUAGGAGGGAGGCGUGUGGUUGAGAGACCUGUGAGGGGUUCCAAGAUGGUCCAGGGGCUGGGAGGGGGAGAGGUAUCAUGAGAGACGUGGGAUGUCAGUCCACACAACAGUCUAUUCUUGAUUCUAUUUUGAAGGUAGCACCAGAGGAUUUGCUGCUGGACUGGAUGUAGGGUGCAGAAGAAAGAGAGGAAUCAAAGUUUGGGGCCUGGACAAGAGGAGACUGGAGCUUCCUUCUGCUGCGAGCAGUUAUGGAGAAGAGUCAGGACAGGACGAGGCUGGCCGAAUGCCUCACCCCCUUCAACAGAGAAGGUAGCUGAGACCCAUGUGAUUGCCUGACCCUCACCCUGAGCAAGCCACAGAGCGAGAACCCAGGCCUCCUGACUCUUCAGAGAUUUUGCAUGACAAGAUAGCACCGGGAAGGCGCCCUGACAGGUCUGGAAUGUGGGAGUGAGGGUGAGGGUGAUGACUUGUGCGCCCCAUUGGCUGGCCAGGGGCGCCUUUCGGCAGAAUUGCUCUCUCACCCAGUGAGGGCUGGGGACGGCUCGUGCUCUUCCUGCUGGGAGGGGCCCGGGCCCCUGGGUGGGGGCCUCACUCAGGCUGCCUCCCUGAUUCACUCCAGCCCUCCUGGAGGCCUGAGUCACUUUCUUUCCAGGCUAGAGCUGCUUGUUUGGCAAAUCCUUGGAUUCUGGUGGGGAGGAAUAGGAACUCCUGCCCAGGGCCGGUCCUGUGCAUGUGAGGCAGACAGCCACCCACACCUGCCCCAAAUCCCUGCCCUGGCCUGGAAUUCACUCACUUGUCUCUCCGUCCAUCCCACCCACCAUUCCCGAUGACAGUCUCCAUUCAGGUGUUCUGGAUGUUGGAGUUCACACACUGAGGCUCAGAGAGGGGCGAAAGCCUGGUUCAAGAGGGCCCAUCUGGGAAAUAGGGGAGCCAGGUGCGGCCUCAGUCUUGCCUGAAGCCAGGAGCUCUUCCAUUUAUGGUCACUACUGUCCCUAGGCCUGGCAGCCACCUUUCAACUCUUGGCUGUGAUUCUCUGACCUUGUAGAAAUUUGUUGAUUCCCUUUGUCCUGAGGUUGGUGGAGGAAGGAGACCUGGGAUGCGCAAGAGCAGCAGGGUAGAGGUCUUGGGUAGGCUGUGGACUCAGCCACAGCUCCCUGGAAGCAAUCAGGAUAUCAGAGAAGGCAGUUAGGUAAAGGAUGUCCCAGGUAGGGAGGCAGCCAGGGGAAUGGAACGAACUUGCAUUCAGGGGCCAGGAACAUAGGGUGGGGAGGAGGUUGGAUUGCAGAAGUUUCUGAAUACCUUUGGAAUGUUCUGGAUAGUCCUGGUGAGGGGCCCAGGGGUGCUACCUCUUCCCCCAAGAAGCCUUGCAGCACUAACUCCUCUGGUUUCUCAGCCCUGGCUGGCCCUCCUUCCCCAGCACAGCCUGUACUUCAGAAGGAAAGCCCCAGACUUCCUGGAUCAUGCCCUGUCUCCCCUGGGAGUGGGUAUUGGGUUGCUCACAAGAUAUCCAGAGUACUGCUAGAGACCUCGGGAUGUCAGGAAGUCCAGAGAGUUGCCCGAGAAGAGAAUCGCAGCUCAGAAGGACAGACAACAUCACAGGACAGGAGGACCACCUGUCCCUAAAGGAUGACCAGAGGGACAUUAAGAUGUAAAAAUUCAUCAUGCCAUCCCCUUCUGAAGAUCCAUCCUUACAGAUUCCUCAGAAAACCUGGAAUGGAACAACCAUUUGACCCACUCAUCCCACUUCUCAGUAUAUAUACCCAAAGGACUUAAAAUCAGCAUACUACAGUGACACAGCCACAUCCAUGUUUAUAGCAGCUCAAUUCACAAUAGCUAAGCUAUGGAACCAACCUAGGUGCCCUUCAACGGAUGAAUGGAUAAAGAAAAUGUAGUACAUAUACGUAUACACAAUGGAAUCUUACUCAGCCUUAAAGAAGAAUGAAAUUAUGGGCAUUUGCUGGUAAAUGGAUGGAGCUGGAGACUAUCAUGCUAAUCGAAAUAAGCCAGUCCUCAAAACCAAAGGCAGAAUGUUCUCUCUGAUAUGCGGAUGCUAACAUGCAAUAAGG